rnacentral:misc_RNA from 1 species
CGAGUGUGAGAAAGAGAAGGCAAAGGAGGAAAUCAUAGCAAUUACCAAGAAGAAAUUCAAGCAGUAAAGAUCAAGAAAUCAUGCUCGCAGAACGCCCGGUUUAACCUCAAAAAGCCUAGAGCCAUUUCGGCCCCGUAAGCCUUGCUUCUCGACAACUUGAACCGGUCCUUCCGUAGACUUUGACACAUCUUCACUUCAAUUUGGUCAAAAUAAUCC